CUUUGCGAGAGAAAAUGAUAGAUUUUAGAUCUUCAGUCGGACAUGCUUGGUUAAGAAAUGAAUGUGUCAGCAACUCAGCAGCAGUAGCUCUAAAAAUGGUAUCGAUUGUAAGACAGGAAUUUAAGAAAGAUUUUAAGUUUUUAGAAACUAAAUUAGGUUUUUUAAGAGUUGGAGUUCCAUUUUUUGCUAUCAGAUACAAUGCACGAAUUGGAUCCUCUCUGAGAUAAGGCGGUUCGUUUUCAAUCAUCUCUAUAAUCAUAAUUCCAAGACUCCAUAUAUCAACUUUGGUCCCAUAUUCGUUUUGCUUUACUACUUCAGGGGCCAUCCAAUAUGGUGUUCCAACCAUCGUAACUCGUUUAUUAGUACGGUUAGACAAUCGAGCACAAAAUCCAAAGUCAGUAAUUUUAAUAUUUCCAGAGUUGUCGAGUAAAACAUUGUCACUUUUAAUAUCUCUGUGAAUAAUAUUUCUGGCGUGCAGAUGCUGAAUUCCCUUGCACGUUUCUAGACAAAUACGAGCAAUUUGUGCUUCUGUAAGCUUACUUUUUUCAAUAAUAUCAGUCAAAGAUCCAGCGUUCAUGUACUCCAUCACAACCCAUAAAUGCCUUUCUCGAACAAGAAAUGAAUCUAAAUAUGUCACUAUGUUAGGAUGAAUCGAUUCUCUCAUGACAGUGAUUUCGUUUAAGAUUAGUUCCUUUCUUGUUUGGCACUGCAAAUCAAUACUUUUUAUUGCAACUGAGUCAAAAAUACCUAAUUGUUUUCCUCCGACGACUUUGGCUAAGUAAACAGAUCCCGAUGCACCCUGGCCAAGUUUAUGCUUAACAUUAAAAUAUUCGACAGGAUCAUGAGAAGUAACUGAGUCUUUUAACAUGGCUAAAGCCUGUCUAUCAGUCAUUCUUCUACUCAACGUGUUCUUUGAAUCUGCUUUGACCGGUACUUUGGUUACUUUUCCGGUCAUGAUAGAUUCUACAUGACUUUUGUCUUCAAUAAAAGGCCUUAUGAUAUGCUUUUUAUCCGUCUGUAUGGUUGUCUUCGGCUUGCAUCUUUCAGUAAUAUUCAUUUUAGUAACUCCAGAUGUCGUGAGUUUAUGAUGUUUGUCAGCAUCGCGAAUAGAAUACGAUGUAGUAGAGGAUCGUGGCAGUGUCUCUUUGCAAAAUGAAAAACUAUCUUUAGUUUCGCUUGUUGUAUCCAACUGCUUACUAUAAAAAUCCAAAGCUUGAAUAACUGCUUUCGGCUCCUCCAUGCAUUCUUGUUUGGUAAUCGAACUACUCUGAAGUAGCAAUAUCCACUCCUUGGGUAAUCCGACAUAAUUUCCUUCAUUAUCAAUUCCCACAUGCACUUGGUGUUUAGGAUUCAUCGGACUUGAAACUUUGCUAGCAAGCGCACGAGAAGAUAUUAAAUCCAUCCACUCAUAACAUUCCAUAUUAUCGGCCACGGACAAUUCACAAGCUUGAAUCUCAAAAUUUUUGGUACUACUUUUGAACCUCAAUUUAAAGCAGAAUGUCCUAGACUUUGAACGCUCUACUUUUUGAAUAUCCUUCAACAGCAACGUAACCUGAGCACUUUCAGACUUGCUUCCUUUAUAUAUCGACAGAGAAUUGCUAGAAAGUACUAGCCACUUUUUAGUCCAAGGGAGAUACUUCAUUUUAUCUUCCUUCAGCAUAACCCAUCCUGAUCGAAUGAUUCCCUUGCUUUUCUUUGUAUCUUUGAGAGAUGGAAUUUCAACCGGCACGCCUCUUACACUUAAAAGCAUUUUGAAAACGAUGCAAUAGUUUUGGUAUACAUGCUUCUUUUAUACAUUUUAGCUCAAAUGUAUAAACAAAGAAACCCCAUUUAUAAACAAAGAGAAUGCAAAAAACAAAGAAAUGUUAUGAAAAGAGAAGUCAAUUGACGUCAACAGUAGUGGAUGAAAAGUAAUUCUUAAUUAAUUAGAUUAAGUCUUACAAUUGCAAUUUGCAAUCUUAUCGCAAGCGAACAUGACAUUGGUUACAAGAUUCAUGACAACGCUCACAAAUGUAAACUGUGUAUAGCAUUUAUAAUAUCUGAGAGUGAUUUUAGGUAAUUUUUAGCAUGGAAAUGUAUAACUGAAUUUAUGCGAAGUGGUGGGCAAUUCUGGUUAGGAAACAUUAAUUGAUAAUGGGUUUUGACUAGCCGAUAAUUUGCAUGUUAGUGCUAGGAGAACUUAGAUUGCUAAAACGGAAAUUAGUAUAACAAUUCUAGGACGAAUUGAAAUGUUGUUUAGACUCUUAAGGGUGGUGUUCAACCAUUGCUCCAGUUGUAGAAAAUUAAUGUAAGACUCUCAUAAUUUUUUCGUGUAAUGUCUAAUUCUAAGAAACCGCUAGUUUACUUUUUAUACCAUUAUCUAA